UGUUUGAUCCUGGCUCAGAUUGAACGCUGGCGGCAUGCUUUACACAUGCAAGUCGAACGGCAGCACAGGGGCAACCCUGAUGGCGAGUGGCGAACGGGUGAGUAAUGCAUCGGAACGUAUCCUUAAGUGGGGGAUAACGCACCGAAAGGUGUGCUAAUACCGCAUAAUCUCUGAGGAGAAAAGCAGGGGAUCGCAAGACCUUGCGCUUUUGGAGCAGCCGAUGUCUGAUUAGCUAGUUGGUGAGGUAAAGGCCCACCAAGGCGACGAUCCGUAGCUGGUCUGAGAGGAUGAUCAGCCACACUGGAACUGAGACACGGUCCAGACUCC
rnacentral:rRNA from 1 species